rnacentral:rRNA from 1 species
GACGAACGCUGGCGGCGUGCUUAACACAUGCAAGUCGAACGGUGAAAGCGGAGCUUGCUCCGCUGGAUCAGUGGCGAACGGGUGAGUAACACGUGGGCAACCUGCCCUUCACUUCGGGAUCACUCCGGGAAACCGGGGCUAAUACCGGAUAUGAGCUCUGCGGGCAUCCGCGGAGGUGGAAAGUUUUUCGGUGAAGGAUGGGCCCGCGGCCUAUCAGCUUGUGGGUGAGGUAGUGGCUCACCAAGGCGACGACGGGUAGCCGGCCUGAGAGGGCGACCGGCCACACUGGGACUGAGACACGGCCCAGACUCCUACGGGAGGCAGCAGUGGGGAAUAUUGCGCAAUGGGCGAAAGCCUGACGCAGCAACGCCGCGUGCGGGAUGACGGCCUUCGGGUUGUAAACCGCUUUCAGCAGGGAAGAAGCCGCAAGGUGACGGUACCUGCAGAAGAAGCACCGGCUAACUACGUGCCAGCAGCCGCGGUAA